GGUUUCCGUAGGUGAACCUGCGGAAGGAUCAUUACCGAUGUAAUCCAAAAGCACGACUCCGUCGUGACUACCGUGUGAACCGUACCAAACUAUUCAGGGGUCGGCGAGUCCGUUAAAUGGCGGUCGGACGCGUGCACCGCGCGCGGCCGCUCCGCCAGCCCCGCCUGUGUUUUUUUUAACAUACGUGUCUUGUCUGAAACGUGACCACUGCCGUGGUCCAGAGCAAAAAGAAAGAGAGACAACUUUUGACGGUGGAUCUCUUGGCUCACGCAUCGAUGAAGAACGCAGCCAGCUGCGAUAAGUAGUGUGAAUUGCAGAAUUCAGUGAAUCAUCGAAUCUUUGAACGCAAAUGGCGCUCUUGGGUUCUCCCAGGAGCAUGUCUGUCUGAGUGUCGGAUAUCAUCCAACGCACCUACUGGUGCGGCGUUGAGGCGUCACGGCCCUCCUCGCGGCCGUGUCCCUUGAAAGUCAGAGAGACUCGCCGCGGCACGGGUUCCUUCCCUGCACACUCGCGGAGGCUAAAAACGCUUUUGCCCUUCGCGUGGACGGGAGCGGCCCGCCCGCCGAGUCGCGGAGGCGAACACUUUUCAACUCUUGACCUCAGAAUCAGG
rnacentral:rRNA from 1 species